GAUGAACGCUGGCGGCGUGCCUAAUACAUGCAAGUCGAGCGAACAGACGAGGAGCUUGCUCCUCUGACGUUAGCGGCGGACGGGUGAGUAACACGUGGAUAAUCUACCUAUAAGACUGGGAUAACUUCGGGAAACCGGAGCUAAUACCGGAUAAUAUAUUGAACCGCAUGGUUCAAUAGUGAAAGACGGUUUUGCUGUCACUUAUAGAUGGAUCCGCGCCGCAUUAGCUAGUUGGUAAGGUAACGGCUUACCAAGGCAACGAUGCGUAGCCGACCUGAGAGGGUGAUCGGCCACAAUGGAACUGAGACACGGGCCAGACUCCGACGGGAGGCAGCAGUAGGGAAUCUUCCGCAAUGGGCGAAAGCCUGACGGAGCAACGCCGCGUGAGUGAUGAAGGUCUUCGGAUCGUAAAACGCUGUUAUUAGGGAAGAACAAAUGUGUAAGUAACUAUGCACGUCUUGACGGUACCUAAUCAGAAAGCCACGGCGAACUACGU
rnacentral:rRNA from 1 species